rnacentral:lncRNA from 1 species
AUUAUUUAUCUUAUUUCAGGAACUAGUGACAUUCAGGGAUGUGACCAUUGAUUUCUCUGAAGAGGAAUGGGAAUGCCUGGAACCUGCUCAGAAGAAUUUAUACAGAGAUGUGAUGUUAGAGAACUAUAGAAACCUGGUCUUCCUGGGUGAGGAUAACUUUCUUUGGGAUUUCUAAAUAAGUAUUAAUAUUUAAUUUUCUUUACUUGAAGAAUAUUUUUUUUACAUCUAAAACCUAGUUUUAUUUAUUCUUUUUUAAACUUAAAUUUUUUUCUGAUUAGUUUUAUAUGAGAGUAAAACACAUUUUGACACAUCAUACAUAAAUGGAGUAUAACUUCUCAUCCUUAUGUUUGUACCUGAUGUAGAAUUACAGCAGUCAUGUAAUCAUAUAUUCACCUAGGAUAAAACUGAUUCAUUCUACUAUCCUUUCUACACCUUUACCCUCUCCUCUUUCUUCAAUCUCCUCCAUCUAAUCUAAAGUACCUUUGUUUUUCCCUAGCUACCCCCUUAAUGUGAAUUAAUUAGCAUUUGCAUUCUAGAGAAAAUAUUUGGCCUUUUGUUCUUUGGGAUUGGCUUAUUUCACUUAGCAUAAUGUUUCCCAGUUGUAUCCUUUUACCAGCAAAGCCAUAUAUCACUCUUAUUUUUGGCUGAGUAAUAUUUCACUGUGUAAAUGUAGCAUUUUUUUUAUCCAUUCAUCUGUUGAAGAGCACCUAGGUGGGUUCCAUAAUUGAGCUGUUGUGAAUUGAGCUCCUAUAUACAUUGAUGUGGCUAUAUCACUAUAGAAUGCCGAUUUUAAGUUCUUUGAGUAUAAACUGAGGAGUGGGAUAACUGGGUCAAAUUGUGUUUUCAUUACAAGUUUUAUUUUAAGGAAUCUCCACACAGCAUUCCAGAAUGGUUGCACCAAUUUGCAGUCCUACUCCCCACAUCUUUUCCACAUUCAUGUUGCUUGUACUCUUAAUAGUUUUUAUUCUGACAAGUGAGAGGAAGUCUAAGUGUAGUUUUGAUUUGCAUUUCUCUAAUUGCUGGAGAUGUUGAACAUUUUUUCAAAUAUUUGUUGAUCAAUUGCAAUUCUGUGAAAUUUCUUAGUUCCAUUUAUUGAUUGGGUUAUUUGUUCUUUUGGUGUUAAGUGUUUGAUUCUUUAUAUUUCCUGAAGAUAAUGCUCAUUCUGAAGGACACGUGGCAAAGAUUGCUCCCAAUUUGUAGUCUGUCUAUUCAUGUUCUCAUUGUUUUUUUUUUCUGUAAAGAAGCUUAUUAGUUUGGUGCCAUCCUAUUUAUUGAUUCUUGAUUUUACUUCUUGCAGUUUAGGAGUCUUGUUAAGGAAAUCAGUUCCUAACCUGACAUGGUGAAGAUUUGGUGCUAUUUUUUCUUCUAUUAGGUGAUGGACCUCAAUUCUAUUGCCUAAGUCUUUGAUCCACUUUGAGUUGAUUUUUGUGCAGGAUGAGAGAUAGGGGUUUAAUCUCAUUUUGCUACAUAUGGAUUUCCAGUUUUUGCAGCACAGUUGUUGAAGAGGCUAUCUUUUCUCCAAUGAAUGCUUUCAGUGCUUUCUUUCUAAUAUGAGAUAAUUGUAAUUCUGUGAGUUUAUGUGUCUUUUAUUCUAUACCAUUUUUCUACAUGUUUGUUUUGGUGCAACAGCAUUCUGUUUUUUUACUAUAUCUAUGUAAUAUCAUUUAAGUUCUGGUAUUGUGAUGCCUCCUGCUUCACUUAUCUUUCUAAAGGCUGCUUUGGCUAUUCUGAGCCUCUUAAUUUUCGAAAUAAAUUUUAUGAUUGCUUUUUCUGUUUCUAUGAAGACUGUCAUUGAUAUUUUAGUAGGAAUUUUGUUAAAUCUUUAUAAUGCAUUUAAUGGUAUGGCCAUUUUGACAGUGUGAAUUCUGCCUUUCCAAGAGCAUGGGAGAAUGGGAGAUCUUUCCAUCUUUCAUGGUCUUCUUCAAUUUCUUUCUUUAGUAUUGUGUAGUUUUAAUUGUAGGGGUCUUUCACCUCUUUUGUUAGAUUGAUUCCCAAAUAUAUAUAUAUACACACACACACACACACACACUUUUUUUUUAAUUUGAGGGUUCUUGUGAAUGUGGGAGUUUUUCUAGUUUCUAUUUCAGGUGAUUCAUCAGUGAUGUACAAGAACAUGUUUGAUUUGUGGGUGUUGAUUCUGUAUCCUGCUACUUUGCUGAAUUCAUUUAUUAGUUCUAAAUUUUUCAGUGAUAAUUUUUGGGUCUUUUGAAAAUAGAAAUGUAUUGUUAGGAAAUAGUGAUAGUUUGAGUUAUUUUUCUGUUAGUUUCCAUUUAAUUUAUUUCUUUUGUCUUAAGUUCUCUGGAAGGGUUUUCAAGGAUGAUGUUAAAUAAAAGUGGUGAAAGAGGGCAUCCUUGUCUUGUUCCAGUUCUUAAGAGAAUUCGUUCAUUUUUUUUCACCAUUUAGA